GUGAGGAAUAUUGCGCAAUGGAGGCAACUCUGACGCAGCCAUGCCGCGUGCAGGAUGAAGGCGCUACGCGUUGUAAACUGCUUUUAUCCGGGAAGAAACCCCAGGACGUGUCCUGGGUUGACGGUACCGGAGGAAUAAGCACCGGCUAACUUCGUGCCAGCAGCCGCGGUAAUACGAAGGGUGCAAGCGUUAUCCGGAUUCAUUGGGUUUAAAGGGUGCGUAGGCGGAACAAUAAGUCAGCGGUGAAAGCCCGCAGCUCAACUGUGGAAUUGCCGUUGAUACUGUUGUUCUUGAGUGCGUUUGACGUGGGCGGAAUGUGCCGUGUAGCGGUGAAAUGCUUAGAUAUGGCACAGAACACCGAUAGUGAAGACAGCUCACGAAGACGAUACUGACGCUGAGGCACGAAAGCGUGGGGAGCGAACAGGAUUAGAAACCCGGGUAGUCC
rnacentral:rRNA from 1 species